rnacentral:rRNA from 1 species
UACAGAGGGGGCGAGCGUUAUUCGGAAUUAUUGGGCGUAAAGGGCGCGUAGGCGGCUUUGCAAGUGACGGGUGAAAUCCCUCGGCUUAACCGAGGAACUGCCUGUCAGACUGUAAGGCUUGAGACCGGGAGAGGUGAGUGGAAUUCCCAGUGUAGCGGUGAAAUUCGUAGAUAUUGGGAGGAACACCAGUGGCGAAGGCGGCUCACUGGACCGGAACUGACGCUGAGGCGCGAAAGCGUGGGGAGCAAACAGG